rnacentral:rRNA from 1 species
UGCCAGCAGCCGCGGUAAUACAUAGGGGUCAAGCGUUGUCCGGAUUUAUUGGGCGUAAAGGGUCUGUAGGUUGUUGGUUAAGUCUAUGGUCAAAUUCCGAAGCUCAACUUCGGGCCGGCACUAGAAACUAAUCAACUUGAGUACGUUAGAGGCAGGGGGAAUUCCCAGUGUAGCGGUGAAAUGCGUAGAUAUUGGGAGGAACAUCAAUGGCGAAGGCACCCUGCUAGGCCGAUACUGACACUGAAAGACGAAAGCUAGGGGAGCAAAUGGGAUUAGAUA